GACAACACCUACCUGCUGCCUGACAACACCUACCUGCUGGAUCACACCAGGGUGGCAUUUCUCUUCCUUGCCAUUUUUUAAUUGCCCAUGAAUCAUCUUUAGUUAAGUUUAAGACAAUGAGUAACUCAGUGAUGCAACAGAAACUACAGCUCAGAAUUCAACUCUUCAGGCACUGACUGUGGCAUAUGGAUUUCUCUUUAUCUGAUUGGGAAAAACACAGGUGGUGGAACAUUCAGGGCUCACCUCCAUGUGGAAAUGCACUGGAAGAGUCAUUCCCCAGUAAUGGUAUCUGAUGAAGAAAUGAGAGCUAUCACUGCAAUCAUGAAUCUCCUUCAUUAUCCUGCAGUUGCAGAGUUGGGUUAGGAAGUGAAACUGAAUUGUCUUUCCCUGGGACUACCACUGGUGCUACAGGUGGUACUCAUGCUGUUAACCACUGCACUGGACUGCUCUGCCACGUGUCACUUUGUCAAGUGGCAGUGAAGAGGCACACAACCUCUGCUAGGCAGAAACGAGAUGUUUAUAGAAGCACCAUGAAAGGAUUUCCUCAUUUUUGUGGGCUCAGGUCCUGCCUGUUGUGGAACUCUGCUCAGUAGCAUGAUGAAUACUUGUAAAGAUGGGCACACUGGUCACUAAAAAACCUGGGAAUUGAUGUGCCACCGUUGGGUCUCCAUGCUUAGUCACCCAUCAGAGGCCAUCACCCUUGCUGCAUCUGUGCAGACUGAGAAGACUUACUGAGGGCCAGGCAACCAAAAGCUCUUUGAAGGAGACUAGUAAAAAAUGAGAUUGUUUUCUUCUUAAUACUGGGCUGAUGAGGGGGUAAGUGCCAGCCUCCCAUCUCCCAGCAACCAGGCACUGCGACACCCAGGGAUGCUGCAGGGCAGGGAACUUGCAGGCCCUCUACUGAGGGAGCUUGAGGUUUAGCUUAAACUAUGAUGAAAGCAGCCUUUCUGCAUCCCAGCACAGGUUAAUGGGAUGUGCUGCCUUCCCUCUGAAAUUACCUCACUGAUAUGUUUUCAUCAGUGUACACAGGAAAGAUGUAAUGCAAUACGACAUCAAGAUGCCAAGCCUUUCUUUGCAAAGAACACAAAAGAGGAACAUUAAAAUUUAUCAUGUACAAAUACAUUAAUUUGGUGGCUUAGCUAUCACAUGCCAUUUGAAACAGUUCAAUACUUGCCUUGAAGUCAGUGGCAAACUGACCAACUGCAGGCUCCUGUGCUCCUGAACUCAUCCAGAAACCUUGCACAGGACAGCUAAACCAGAUGUUAUUUGCUCUGAAAUUCAAAGGAAACUGUACUUACUAGGUAGUUCUUAAGAAAAAUGCAGAAUGACUGGCUUUGCACGCACACAUAAUGGCUGCUUACCUUCAAGAUCAACAUUGAGGUCAGUGGGGAAUUGCCAAAUCAAAGAUGAAGUUUGAAAACAGUUUUGCAGAACCAGAAUGAUGAGAUUACAGCACUGUACAGCAGCACAACAGACACAAUACUAUGACACAGCAGGCAAUGCUAUUUCUGAAACUAAACAUUUUCCCUCAUAGGAAAUGUAAGUUUAUUCAUUUUGAUAUCAAUCUUCACCUUUCCUGAAGCAUAUGAAUUUUUUCAAUAGAUAUAAAUUCCUGUCCUGAUAGUGAACUAUUAUGGUAUUAAAAGCAAAAGGAUUUAUGUAAACUAUGUAUUGAGCCUUCUAAAGUCAGGAGGAAGAUACAGUGGAAUUUCAAAGAUGUUCAUGAUUCUACAGUAUAACUGUAAUAGGUGAGCAUGUAAACUCUUCAACAGUGGAUGAAAUAAAGGCAGGGAAAGCUAUGGAAAAAAUUGAAUUACAUUAUUUUAAAUCUAAAUAAAAGCUAUGCAAAUUUAAGUUACAAAAUUCUUUUGAGAAAUAAGUACUGGUAUGCAAAUAUAUCUACAGAAGAUAAACUCUUCUAAUUGAAGCCUUUCCUAAAAUCUCUGAACUCUCUAAAUAAAAGUAAGCUUCUUAAAGCAUAAGCAAAUUCUCAGCCAGUAUAAAUCUCUCCAGCUUUAGCCUAAACUGAAUUCCUAUAUUGGCAUAAGCCCCUUGUGGCUAAAGCAAGCUUUAUAUUCCCUUACUGCCAAACAUAAGGGACAUGGUCUCUGUUAUCUGGCCUACACUAAGCAUAACACACAAAAAGCACUGUGAGCUUUCAGAAAGUAAUUCUCACCUGUAUCUGCUUUACAGUAGACCUUCCUGUUAAGUAAAACUGAUCAUGUUACUAGUGAACACCUGGGGAAAAAUUUAUUUGAAUCUGAAAUUUUAGGUGCUGUAGAAAAAGUGGAAAGUCUAGAUUAUUGCAGAUUUACAUCUCACCGGGGAUACGUGAAGGAAAUUGUAAAGUAGCAAGCUGCCAGUUUCUUUGGAGAGCCUCACUGGCUUUAUAUGCUAGUGCCUUGAGAACAGCCAAAAGCAAAACCUGAUUGGUGAAAACUUGAUUUUGGAAGCACUUUGGGUUUUAGUUCUGCUUUUGAAAUAGCUAAAUACUGAGAAAACUAUUGUCAUUGAAGCUGAGAUUAGAGAUGAGAAAACCUUAAUGACUUUAUGUUUCUAUGAAAACUGAAAGACACAGCGAUGGAAACUGUCAUACAGGUUUUCUAAAUUUAAAAAAUCUACACAGUUGGAUAAAUAAUACCAAAACAGAACUUAAGACCCUGCUCCAACAUCUACUAGAUUUUUUUAUGCCCUUAAUUUCAACUAUUUGUUCAGGAACAUUUUAGAUAAAUCUCUGUCUGAAGAAAUGGGGCUAACCUAAGGUCUCCUUUCAGGUUAGGCACUGCUAUGAUCAAGAGGAAAAAGUCAUGAAAAAAUCACUCCUUUCACUAGGUUUUGAACCAACUGAAGCAAAUCAUUCUCUUGUGAAAUUUAACUGGAUAACAAAAUCUCUUUUUUAAUACCAAUCUCAAAGGCAUAAGAGAGAAACCAAGAACUAAUCUGAUAAAAUAACUCUUUAGAUUACACUGCUAUUUCUACACUGCACAUAUGCAGUUUUUUCCUCUCCCUUUUGUAUGGAGUUAUUUUGAAUUAAAAUACACCUCUGCUAAAGUCAGGGAAAACUUUAUCAAUUACAUCAAUGAGAUCAAGAUUUCAGCGACUUGGUCUAAGCAUAGAAAGAAAAAUCCAACUCCAUCUUGCAUCAUUAGCCCGUGCAUGGGGUUUUUUUUCAUGCUAAAGAAAAUUAAUAGGAAUGGCAAAUACUCUAGGCAAAUUUGGGCAAAUGCCACUGACUCCUG